rnacentral:rRNA from 2 species
GAAUGCUGACAUAAGUAACGAUAAAGCGGGUGAAAAGCCCGCUCGCCGGAAGACCAAGGGUUCCUGUCCAACGUUAAUCGGGGCAGGGUGAGUCGACCCCUAAGGCGAGGCCGAAAGGCGUAGUCGAUGGGAAACGGGUUAAUAUUCCCGUACUUGGUGUUACUGCGAAGGGGGGACGGAGAAGGCUAUGUUGGCCGGGCGACGGUUGUCCCGGUU